rnacentral:rRNA from 1 species
GACGAACGCUGGCGGCGUGCCUAAUACAUGCAAGUAGAACGCUGAAGAGAGGAGCUUGCUCUUCUUGGAUGAGUUGCGAACGGGUGAGUAACGCGUAGGUAACCUGCCUUGUAGCGGGGGAUAACUAUUGGAAACGAUAGCUAAUACCGCAUAACAAUGGAUGACCCAUGUCAUUUAUUUGAAAGGGGCAAAUGCUCCACUACAAGAUGGACCUGCGUUGUAUUAGCUAGUAGGUGAGGUAACGGCUCACCUAGGCGACGAUACAUAGCCGACCUGAGAGGGUGAUCGGCCACACUGGGACUGAGACACGGCCCAGACUCCUACGGGAGGCAGCAGUAGGGAAUCCUCGGCAAUGGGGGCAACCCUGACCGAGCAACGCCGCGUGAGUGAAGAAGGUUUUCGGAUCGUAAAGCUCUGUUGUAAGUCAAGAACGAGUGUGAGAGUGGAAAGUUCACACUGUGACGGUAGCUUACCAGAAAGGGACGGCUAACUACGUG